rnacentral:rRNA from 1 species
GUGAAACCGGUGAAAUGGAAGCGAAUGGAGCCGACGUAUCUAGUGCGUAUUCAGCCUUCUGGGCGUGCGAUUGGGGUUUGUGCAUUUCCGCAAGGUGUGCCUGGCCUUAUUGUCGUGCGUUCGGUUGGUGCAUUUGCGUACGGAGUGCGCCGGGUUGUGUGGUGUUGUCGGACGAUGCGCGUUUAGAGGACCCGGGCUUCGGCGCUGGGAACCCUGGGCGUGCGGAGUUCGGUUGGCGCUGCGCAGCUUUGUGGAGACGUGGGUUUUUCGCGUGCCGCGGUGUCGACAGGCUCGGUUCGGGUGGUACACAUGUGUGCAGCCCUUAUGGGGUCGGUCGGUGUUGUGGUGUGCUCUACGUUCUUCCCGGUGUUCAGUCGGUGACCCAUUCGACCCGUCUUGAAACACGGACCAAGGAGUUUAUGGUAUGCGCAAGUCAUUGGGUUUGUCGAAGCCUAAAGGCGUAAUGAAAGUGAGACAUUACUUGUCUGAACGUGACUGGGUGCGGCAUUCGUGCGGCCCAAGCAACGUUGCCCCGUUUCGAGGACUUGUCCUGAUGCGGAGGUUGAGCGUAUGCUAUGAGACCCGAAAGAUGGUGAACUAUGCCUG